CAAGUCGAGCGAGCUUGCCUAGAUGAUUUUAGUGCUUGCACUAAAUGAAACUAGAUACAAGCGAGCGGCGGACGGGUGAGUAACACGUGGGUAACCUGCCCAAGAGACUGGGAUAACACCUGGAAACAGAUGCUAAUACCGGAUAACAACACUAGACGCAUGUCUAGAGUUUGAAAGAUGGUUCUGCUAUCACUCUUGGAUGGACCUGCGGUGCAUUAGCUAGUUGGUAAGGUAACGGCUUACCAAGGCAAUGAUGCAUAGCCGAGUUGAGAGACUGAUCGGCCACAUUGGGACUGAGACACGGCCCAAACUCCUACGGGAGGCAGCAGUAGGGAAUCUUCCACAAUGGACGAAAGUCUGAUGGAGCAACGCCGCGUGAGUGAAGAAGGGUUUCGGCUCGUAAAGCUCUGUUGGUAGUGAAGAAAGAUAGAGGUAGUAACUGGCCUUUAUUUGACGGUAAUUACUUAGAAAGUCACGGCUAACUACGUGCCAGCAGCCGCGGUAAUACGUAGGUGGCAAGCGUUGUCCGGAUUUAUUGGGCGUAAAGCGAGUGCAGGCGGUUCAAUAAGUCUGAUGUGAAAGCCUUCGGCUCAACCGGAGAAUUGCAUCAGAAACUGUUGAACUUGAGUGCAGAAGAGGAGAGUGGAACUCCAUGUGUAGCGGUGGAAUGCGUAGAUAUAUGGA
rnacentral:rRNA from 1 species